UAGGAUUACAGGCGUGAGCCAUUGUGCCCAGCCAAUUCCAAAGAUAUUUUAAAUUUCCCUGGAAGAAAUAAGAAUGAGAAUUCCUAGAGUGGCACAUUGAGUUUGUUCCUCAAAUACUAUUUGAAUUUACCCUGCAAAUAUGUGGUGUCAGGUGGGCGUUGUGUAAUGGAAUUUGAAGGACAUCUGUGACCAUCUAUAAGGAGCUGAGAUUUAUAAAUUUCUUGAGUAGGCAUUUUAGAGAGGCUCGAUGAGGCAUUGAGAGCUGAUGUUUCCCCAAGUGGAAUGAACACAUCAGGUGUUACAUGACUCAGAUUCUGUUUUAAGUUAGACUCAAUCCACACUACAGACUUGGAGGGUCAGAAUAAUAAUGUGAAUCAGCAUGUGUUGUAAGAUGCAUGACAUUUCUACAUCUGUCAGCAAUGACAAAUGUUCUUUCUCUUUCUCAGAUUCAACUAGAUAAGUGGAUGUUUGCUUCAUUCUUAUUUUGAACAGUUGACUAUAUCAAGAAACCACACCACUUAUUUAUGCCCAUAUUAGGCAGUACAGUAUCUGAUGGAAAGGACUCUGGUAAUUCAAUUUAAUAUGUAACACGCUUCACACCGUGACACAGCAGGAGAGCCCAGAGUGGCAGCUGUUGGAAUGAAUGCCCUCUUCCUGCUUAAGUCUGACAUUUCCAAGAGUAAAGUGGGGAGUCCUGUUUUUUCAGAAACAUAGCAGCAUCAGAGAUGUGGCUAUUGUGAUCAGAAUUACUUGGCUAGGUGAGUUUUGGGUUUGAUUUACUUUUUCAUAUUUGUCUUUCUGCAUAUAUAACAUAUUUUCCUACGGAGAAAGAUAUGCUGAAGUUAAACUUCACGUGAGCUGACUACCUAAAAUUACAGCUGUUAGCAAUUUUUAAUAAAACACUAUCCACCGCACUAUAAAAACGGAUUCCAUUUUCAUAAUGUUUGUGUCAUUCCACUGAACAGUGCAGUUAGAAAUCCCAGAAGCAAAUGCAGCACAAAUUGGAGAGCAGCUGUGUAGAGGUGACUUCUAAUCAUAAUUGAGCACAAACAGGAAUAAAUAAAUCAAGGACGAAACUUCUCAACUUCUGAUGCCUGGCGAUGUCAGUUUUAAAGCCAGAUAAAUAUCAAGCGAAUUGCAAAAGAAAUUACACAGCAGAUAGAAGAGUGACAGUCAAACCCCCACCCUUUCUGGGAACACUCCUAUGUACCAGAAACACAAGAACUUUAUUUUGAAACCUGGAUGACAUAUUUGAAACUGCUGGUGUUCCUGACUUUAGCUUGGCAGAAAUGCCAGCUGAGUGUGCACAUAGCACAGGUGGACGAAUGGCAAACAAGACACCUCACAGCUGUAGGCAAGGAGGUGCUUCUAAGGGCAUACAGUCUGGGCAGUGCCAAGGAAGACAGGUAUGAUACGAAGAGGGAGGACAGGCUGGAAUUUGGGGGUUUUGUCAUCAGUGUGUGUGUAUUAAAAUAUAUUGGUGCAUUUUUGAAAGUUAAUUGGGGUUGGAUUUUCAGCUGAGGCCUCAUUCUUAGGAAAUAAUGUGAUGGCAAUAAAUGUCAGCCUUAGCUAGUGACCCUUAAAAAGCUAAACCAGGAUACAAAUAACAACUUGGCAAAGGUUCCUAUUUGGUGCACUCCUUUUGUGCUCUGCCUUUGUCCUGAGUCUGCUUUGCCAAACACUCCGCCUUCAAGCACUGUUUUUAGGGAGAAGAGGCCAUUCUUUCCGAAGAGGGAACAGCUGAGAAAAGGACCAGCUGACAGAGGGAACUGGGACACUCCUAGCUGCUUUAAAGCCAUACCACAGGGCCUGUGAGUUUGUAACAAGACAAUGUUUUCUUGUUGCUGCCUUACCUAAGCCC